CCAAUUUGUACUGCAGGUUGAUUCUUGCGGGAUAAUUGUGUAAAUUGUGAUUUUGAGAAAAUAAUGGUUUUGUCUAUGAUUAAUUAUUUUGUUAAGUGUCUAUAAUGUUGCAAGUCUAGCACUUUGGUGUCUGUAAUUGAAGAGCGUUACUGACUAGGUACAUUCCUGUCGAGCAAAUUCCCAUCCAGUAUGGUGGGCUUAAGAGAGACAUCGAUUUCGAGUUUUCAGCAGAAGACUGUACUGCUUCAGAGCUUAUUAUUAAGGCUACAUCUACAGUAACUAUUGAAAUACCUGCACCAGAGGCAGGAACCACAUUCAUCUGGGAUAUAACAGUUCUGGGCGGGGAUGUAAACUACAAAGAGGAAUUUGUCCCUGCCGACAAAUGCUCAUACACCAUCAUUGUUCAAAAGGAAAAGAAACUAGGUUCUGCUGAAGCACCGAUUCGCAAUAUAUUCAGGACUAAUGAAGCAGGGAAGAUUGUGCUUACUAUUGAGAAUUGCACCAACAAGAAGAAGAAAGUGUUUUACAGACACAAGGUCAAGAAGAGUGCUCUCUAAAAAAUCAUCAUGGUUACUAAAUUAUACUUGUUCAUUUGAAAGAGAAAAAUGUAAUAUAAUCUGGAUUACUUAUAUUUUGUUCAAUUUCUAUAUCAUUUUUAUAAAACUUCAUUCUUUUGGCUGUGGGACAAUCAUGUUGGGUAGAAAAUGGUUGGUUUGAUUGGGGUGAUAUGUGUGGAUUCAUGUAACAAUUUCAUGGUCCAGUUUAUUGUAUGUAAAAAUUAUUGUAACUUGUACA